rnacentral:rRNA from 1 species
UACGAAGGGGGCUAGCGUUGCUCGGAAUCACUGGGCGUAAAGCGCACGUAGGCGGAUUGUUAAGUCAGGGGUGAAAUCCUGGAGCUCAACUCCAGAACUGCCUUUGAUACUGGCGAUCUUGAGUUCGGGAGAGGUGAGUGGAACUGCGAGUGUAGAGGUGAAAUUCGUAGAUAUUCGCAAGAACACCAGUGGCGAAGGCGGCUCACUGGCCCGAUACUGACGCUGAGGAGCGAAAGCGUGGGGAGCGAACAGG